rnacentral:rRNA from 1 species
AAGAUGGCGACCGACGCACGGGUGAGUAACACGUAUCCAACCUGCCGAUAACUCUGGAAUAGCCUUUCGAAAGAAAGAUUAAUACCGGAUAGUAUACGAAUAUCGCAUGAUAUUUUUAUUUAAAGAAUUUCGGUUAUCGAUGAGGAUGCGUUCCAUUAGUUUGUUGGCGGGGUAACGGCCCACCAAGACUACGAUGGAUAGGGGUUCUGAGAGGAAGGUCCCCCACAUUGGAACUGAGACACGGUCCAAACUCCUACGGGAGGCAGCAUG